GACGAACGCUGGCGGCGUGCUUAACACAUGCAAGUCGAACGAAGUGGCGAACGGGUGCGUAACGCGUAAUCAACCUGCUCUUCAGUGGGGGACAACAGUUGGAAACGACUGCUAAUACCGCAUACUGAAGGUGGGGAUUGCGUCUGAUUAGCGUGUUGGGGGGGGAACGGCCCACCAAGGCGAUGGUCAGUAGCCGGUCUGAGGGGAGGAACGGGCAAAUUGGGAAUGAGACACGGCCCAGAAUCCUACGGGAGGCAGCAGUGGGGAAUCUUCCGCAAUGGAAGAAAGUCUGACGGGGCAACGCCGGGUGGGGGAUGACGGCCUUCGGGUUGUAAAGCUCUGUUAAUCGGGACGCGGUACCGGAAUAGAAAGCCACGGCUAACUACGUGCCAGCAGCCGCGGUAAUAC
rnacentral:rRNA from 1 species